CCACUCCAAUGGAUGCCAAAAAUGCAACAUUUUCUGGAAGUAUAAACUGUAAUAGUGAAGACAGAUACUUAUCCCAGUGUUCAAUUACUGCUUCAGCCAACGAAAGUUGUUCUGAGUUAUUAUACAUACAAUGUAAGUGUGGUAAGAUGGAACGAAUAGAAUGCAGAGGUAAACGAAAGGAGGAAAGAAUAUAAAAAGAAAUAGAAAGUAAAUAAUUAGAGGAAGAAUGAAAGAACAACC